GAAAUGCGAUAAGUAAUGUGAAUUGCAGAAUUCAGUGAAUCAUCGAAUUUUUGAACGCAUAUUGCGCCCUUUGGCAUUCCGAAGGGCAUACCUGUUCGAGCGUCAUUACACCCCUCAAACUUAGGUUUGAUGUUGGGCACUGCUGUAAGGGCAUGCCUAAAAAUCAGUGAUGGUCUCUCUAAACCUUAGGCACACAAAUGUUGCUGAACCUUUAGGGGAGCUAUUUCGGUGCGCUUUUAGCGUACAAUCUGAAUGUUGACCUCGGAUCAGGUAGGGAUACCCGCUGAACUUAA
rnacentral:misc_RNA from 1 species